rnacentral:rRNA from 1 species
ACUCAAAGGAAUAGACGGGGGCCCGCACAAGCAGCGGAGCGUGUGGUUUAAUUCGAGGCUACACGAAGAACCUUACCUGGGUUUGACAUAUAGGUGGUAGGGAACCGAAAGGGGACCGACCUUCGGGAGCCUAUACAGGUGCUGCAUGGCUGUCGUCAGCUCGUGCCGUGAGGUGUUCGGUUAAGUCCGCAAACGAGCGCAACCCUCGGUGCUAGUUACAAGUGUCUAGCGCGACUGCCCGUGAGAAACGGGAGGAAGGUGGGGAUGACGUCAAGUCAGCAUGGCCUUUAUAUCCAGGGCUACACACACGCUACAAUGGGCGGUACAAUGGGUUGCCAAGUCGCGAGAUGGAGCCAAUCCUGAAAGCCGUUCGUAGUUCGGAUUGCAGGCUGCAACUCGCCUGCAUGAAGUCGGAGUUGCUAGUAACCGCGCGUCAGCCAUAGCGCGGUGAAUACGUUCCCGGGCCUUGUACACACCGCCCGU